rnacentral:rRNA from 1 species
GAUGUAUAGCAAUAGCUAUUUGCACUAAAAAUUUUAGUGUGAAAUCGACUAUGUCGAAUAAAAUUCUGGAUAGAAUUAUGAUAAUGACAUUAUCUGUCCAUAAGUCUUGACCAAAUUACGUGCCAGCAGUCGCGGUAAUACGUAGAAGACAAGUGUUAUUCAUCUUUAAUAGGUUUAAAGGGUACUUAGACGGUAAAUAAAGCCUCCAAAAGGUACUAGUUUGCUAGAGUUUUAUGUAAAGGAGUUUUAAAGUACUACUGGUGUAGAGAUGAAAUUCAGUUAUACCUUACAUGGCACAGGUUAAGGCGAAAGCAUCUUCUUAUAUAAAAACUGACGUUGAAGGACGAAGGCUUUGUGUCUCGAACAGGAUUAGAUACCCUAGUAGUCUAAGCAGAAAAUGAUGAAUGUCAUAGAUUAGAUGUAAUUUGAUCUGUAAAUGAAAGUGUAAGCAUUCCACCUCAAGAGUAAUUUGGCAACAUUGGAACUGAAAUCAUUAGACCGUUUCUGAAACCAGUAGUGAAGUAUGUUGUUUAAUUUGAUGAUCCGCAAAAAACCUUACCACAAUUUGAAUAGAUAUAUUUUAUCAUACAAGCGUUGCACGGCUGUCUUCAGUUAAUGUCGUGAGACUUUGGUUAGUUCCAUUAAAUUAACGUAAACCCUUACUUUAUUUUUAUAUGAAGUAGUUCACCGCUAGAUUGGAUGUGAUAAUAGGGAUCAAGACAAGUCAUCAUGACCUAAAUAUUGUGAGCUAUA